rnacentral:rRNA from 1 species
AUGGCAAGGUCCGCCAUGUCCGGGCUAGUGCUCCUGCUGCUCUGUGCAACCUGCAGAUUGGCGCUAGGAAUCACCGAUGGGCUGCUGGCGAACGGCAACUUCGAGCGCGGGCCGCAGCCGUCGCAGCUGCGCGGGACGCAGGUGGUGGGCGCGUCGUCGAUCCCGUCGUGGCGGACGUCGGGGUUCGUGGAGUACAUCCCGUCGGGGCGGAAGCAGGGGGACAUGGUGCUCGUCGUCCCCGAGGCCCGAGGGCGCGCGGAGCGCCUCAACGUGUCCGCGUCCGGCCAGUCCGGCGUGCUGGUCAUGCAGACCAUGUACAGCAGCAACGGCUGGGACUCCUACUCCUGGGCCUGGGACGCCACCGCCGACGAGGUCGAGGUCGUCGUCCACAACCCCGGCGUCACCGAGGACCCCGCCUGCGGGCCCCUCAUCGACUCCGUCGCCAUCAAGACCCUCACCCCGCCUCGCCGCACCAACAAGAACCUGGUGAAGAAUGGUGAUUUCGAGGAGGGGCCGUACAUCAUCCCCGGGACCAAGUGGGGGGUGCUGAUCCCGUCGCGGAUGGUGGACGAGCACUCGCCGCUGCCGGGGUGGAUGGUGGAGUCGCUCAAGGCCGUCAAGUACAUCGACAGCGACCACUUCGCGGUGCCCCGGGGGCGCCGGGCCGUGGAGCUGCUGGCGGGGAGGGAGAGCGCGAUCGCGCAGGUGAUCCGCACCGUGCCGGGGAGGCAGUACGCGCUGUCCUUCAGCGUGGGCAACGCCAGCAACACGUGCCGCGGGUCGCUCAUGGUGGAGGCCUACGCCGGCAGGGAGUCGACCAAGGUGCCGUACGAGUCGGCGGGGCAGGGCGGCGCCGCCAAGCGCGCCGUGCUCCCGUUCCGCGCCACGUCGUCCCGCACGCGCGUCGUCUUCUUCAGCUCCUUCUACAACACCAGGACCGACGACAUGAGCUCGCUCUGCGGGCCAGUGAUCGACGACGUCGCCGUCGUCAGCGUGCGCGCGCGGCCGCCAAAGCGCGCCUAG